GACGAACGCUGGCGGCGUGCCUAAUACAUGCGAGUUGAGCGCUGAAGGUUGGUACUUGUACCAACUGGAUGAGCAGCGAACGGGUGAGUAACGCGUGGGGAAUCUGCCUUUGAGCGGGGGACAACAUUUGGAAACGAAUGCUAAUACCGCAUAAUAACUUUAAACACAAGUUUUAAGUUUGAAAGAUGCAAUUGCAUCACUCAAAGAUGAUCCCGCGUUGUAUUAGCUAGUUGGUGAGGUAAAGGCUCACCAAGGCGAUGAUACAUAGCCGACCUGAGAGGGUGAUCGGCCACAUUGGGACUGAGACACGGCCCAAACUCCUACGGGAGGCAGCAGUAGGGAAUCUUCGGCAAUGGACGAAAGUCUGACCGAGCAACGCCGCGUGAGUGAAGAAGGUUUUCGGAUCGUAAAACUCUGUUGGUAGAGAAGAACGUUGGUGAGAGUGGAAAGCUCAUCAAGUGACGGUAACUACCCAGAAAGGGACGGCUAACUACGUG
rnacentral:rRNA from 1 species